GGGCAGAGCAGCAGCUGCAGCCCCGGUGUCCCUGGAGCGGUGGGAGCUGCCGGUGGCCGCAGGCACUGUGCCCUGAGGAGCUGCUGGAGGACGCUGCCCUGAAGACCUUGGGAAGAGCCAGAGAGUGACGGGAGCCAGCAGGGAGAAGCUGAAGGCCGCCAGCAAGAGCAGCGAAUAUGGACCUGCUGCUGCCGCCCGAGACCCUGGGUGUCCCAUCUGCUGUCCCCGUCCAGGAGAGCUGCUCUGCACGGGAGGAAGAGACCAAGGGAGAGGCUUUGAAGAUGGGGCGGCUGGAAUCCCUCUUCUUGUAUUUCUGUUUAAAGAUGUAUGGACUUGCUCAUAAGAUAGUGAUCAUUACAUGGAUAUUUAUAUGUAGGUUGCUAUUUGUAUAGGUAUAUUUGUAUAUGUAUGUUGUUAUAUUUAUGGAUGUAUGCUA